rnacentral:rRNA from 1 species
AUUGAACGCUGGCGGCAUGCUUUACACAUGCAAGUCGAACGGCAGCACGGGUGCUUGCACCUGGUGGCGAGUGGCGAACGGGUGAGUAAUGCAUCGGAACGUGCCCAUGAGUGGGGGAUAGCCCGGCGAAAGCCGGAUUAAUACCGCAUACGCCCUUAGGGGGAAANCGGGGGAUCUUCGGACCUCGCGCUAUUGGAGCGGCCGAUGUCGGAUUAGCUAGUAGGUGAGGUAAAGGCUCACCUAGGCGACGAUCCGUAGCUGGUCUGAGAGGAUGAUCAGCCACACUGGGACUGAGACACGGCCCAGACUCCUACGGGAGGCAGCAGUGGGGAAUUUUGGACAAUGGGCGCAAGCCUGAUCCAGCCAUGCCGCGUGAGUGAAGAAGGCC